UACGUAGGGUGCAAGCGUUACUCGGAAUUACUGGGCGUAAAGCGUGCGCAGGCGGUUCGGUAAGUAAGAUGUGAAAUCCCAGGGCUUAACCUUGGAACUGCAUUUUUAACUGCCGGGCUAGAGUAUGUCAGAGGGGGGUAGAAUACCACGUGUAGCAGUGAAAUGCGUAGAGAUGUGGAGGAAUACCGAUGGCGAAGGCAGCCCCCUGGGAUAAUACUGACGCUCAUGCACGAAAGCGUGGGGAGCAAACAGG
rnacentral:rRNA from 1 species